rnacentral:rRNA from 1 species
GGAGUUAGCCGGUGCUUCUUCUGUGAGUGAUGUCCUUCCUGCCGGUUAUUGACCCGCAGGCCUUCUUCCUCACUGAAAGUGCUUUACAACCCGAAGGCCUUCUUCACACACGCGGCAUGGCUGGAUCAGGGUUGCCCCCAUUGUCCAAUAUUCCCCACUGCUGCCUCCCGUAGGAGUCUGGGCCGUGUCUCAGUCCCAGUGUGGCUGAUCAUCCUCUCAGACCAGCUACGGAUCGUCGCCUUGGUGAGCCGUUACCUCACCAACCAGCUAAUCCGACAUAGGCUCAUCCGAUAGCGCGAGGCCCGAAGGUCCCCCGCUUUCCCCCGUAGGGCCGUAUGCGGUAUUAGCCUGGGUUUCCCCAGGUUAUCCCCCACUACCGGGCAGAUUCCUAUGCAUUACUCACCCGUCCGCCGCUCGCCACCAGGGAGCAAGCUCCCCGUGCUGCCGCUCGACUUGCAUGUGUUAGGCCUGCCGCCAGCGUUCAAUCUGAGCCAUAAUCAAACUCUGA